ensembl:lncRNA
GCUGGUGACCGUUUGGAAUCCAGAAGUCCGGGUCUGUUUGGAACCCCAGUGCCGGUGUGGAUCCGCCGGGUCCGGGUCUAUUUCGGAUCGGAGGUAAACACCUCCAACGCCCUCGCCUGCUGCCCAGGCUCGGAUGCUGCUCCGCGUCCUCCCUCUCCCCCAGCUCCGAGGAAGCCCCGGGCACCUCCUUGUCUUUCUCGCCUCCUUUGGCGAAGGUCUCCUGCGGCGGCAUCGCUCAGCAGAGCUGCCAAGUGCCACCGUGGCCUCUCCGCUUCCCCACAGCAGGUAUUUACAGCCGAGCCCCGCUAACCAGAACACCCGGUGCUGGCUCAGUGUGACUGCACAGCUGGCAGCUGGAUGCCGGAGCCCGGGAAGAGCCGGCGCGUCCAGCCCCUCCGCGGUGGAGCGGUGCGGGCGGGCCGGUGGGACCGUACCCCCUUCAACCGCCCUGCGCCCCAGCAGGGGCAGCAGCCGCGGGGCGACCCCCCCGUGCCUGCCGCGGGGUGCCCCGCACCCCCUGCCUGCCCGGCCGUGGCACAGCUGCGGGGCCGGCCCCCCGGAUGCUCCUUUUCAGCCCCUCAGCCCCACGGGUACCACCAGUGCCGUCAGUUACCGGCCGUUCCGCCACAGCCCCGCCGCAGGUCACCGCUGCCGCUGGGUAGCAGCAGCCGUUCUGCUGCCUCCUUGUUUUCCCUGACCCAUCCUCCACAGCGUGCUGAUCCCUCCCGCUCCCGAAUCGCGGUGCUGUUUGGGCUGGCGUGUUUCCCGCACCCCCUCCUUCUCCUUGUGGAUUUAGCGCUCACCGGCUGAGCGGGGUUUGUGGAUGCGCAUUGGUUUUGAGCGGCGUCGGGGUUUUGUUUUGAAGUGGAAGCGCUGUGUUUCUGCCAAACAGAAGCUGCAUUGCCCAAACAGAGCGAUGGUUUCCUGUGGGGUCGGUGGCUUGCCACUUCAUCCAAGAGAGUUUCAUUAAAAGCUUGCUCUAAGGUAGAGCUGAACCUGUUGUGCCCGGCCUCAGCAAGUCCGUUUGAAAAGCAUUGGUCACUGUUAUUUUUAUUUUUUUUUAAUUUGUAAUUAGUGUUUGGAGUCUUGACUUUUUUCCCGGUUGGCUUUAUUUAGGAUAAAGCAUAGUGGAAAAUAAAAGCGUGACCAUUUCCUAAACAGUUUCACACUUUUAUAAAGUUAAAUAAUAAAGGUUAUUACCCUUUAUUAUUUAUACAUACCCUAUAUUAUUCUUAUAAUUUAUUAUUUUAAUUAUUAUUUGUAUAUAACUUAUAUUAUCGUUAUUUAUUAUUGUAAUUAUUAUAUAUACCCUUUAUUAUUUAUACAUACCCUAUAUUACUAUAUUUUAAAGUUAAAUAAUAAAGGUGAUUUUUGUAGGUCCAGGAGCGGAUUCCCGCAAGCCUGGUACCUUCCAGCACUGAUAAGUUUAUGAUAAAUGUACUGAUUUUGUUUUGCCUAGUUAAGUGGUUGUUACCUGGCGUUCCGGCUGGUGAAUGGGCAUUCAAGUGGGGAGGGGUAAACAACAACAAUGUAAUAAAAGACUUUAGAGAAUUGGGGGGGCAUUUUCAUAAAGAUUGUCCAAAUUCGUAUUUGCAUUCAGUACCUUUUGAGCACUUUUUUAGUGGCAUAUUUGAAAUAUCAUGCACCACUUAGUUUUCAUAAUUAGAUUUUUUUACAUUUAGGGUAUGGGGCAGGGUCGAUGGCACAGGAUGACUUGGGAGGUUUGUUCCUCAGUGCCAUUGCCCUGCACACCACAGCCCUGGGGGUGCUUGGGCACUCGGUGACACCCGGGGGGAGACUCUUCCCUUCUGCUGCUCUCCAGGGCUUGGCCUCUUGUUUUCCUUCCUGUCAGCAGAGGCCACUCUCUUGUGCUCUGCAUAAUGGAUGUGGAAAAUAGAUUAUUUGCUCCUGUCUUUUACGUAUUUAAAGCCUGCUAGUUUGUCUUUGUCGAGCUAAACGAUGCUAGUUUUCACAGAGCUUUUCCUUUAUUUUUCUUUGCCUGUUUUCUUCAUUCUUCUUUUAUUUCCUUGCCUUUUUUCCACUUUUGUUUUCACUUUUUUUUCUUCCCUCAUCUUUCCCUGAAUUUUUACUCUCUUUUCCUCCUUUUUUCUCUUUUUUUCUUAUUUUCUAGACUACAACUACUAAGUUGUAGUUUAACAAGUAGUUUGCCCUCCUGACAACAAGCACUUGCUAGUAGCCUAACCAUGUUACACUCUUAACUUGGUUUUUCAGUAUCAUAACUAAUGUAGCACUCCCAAGUUUGGGUUACAUACUGAAUUUCUGGCUGAGUGUUGGUUGAAAUUCUUGGCUGAGUAAGGUCCAGUCAGCUGCGUCUGUUCAGGUGUAAGCACAGGUGUGAGGAAAACCCAAUAGUUGGGAUCUAGGCACAGUUUUGUCUUUUUAAUUUCCUAAUUAGAUUACUCAUGCACUGUAAUGAUAGUAUCCAGUUCCUAAGUAUGCCUUUUGAGGGCAGUUUUGAGGCAGGCAGGGUUUGCCUGUCUUUCACUUAUUUUAAUGACGAUAUUCUUAAAGGCUGAAGAACUCUCUACAAAGGAAAAUAAGAUUUUUAUUAUAUUUCUUCAUGCUUUCUAUAAAUGAAGAGAAAAAAACUAGAAAAAAAGA